rnacentral:rRNA from 1 species
CAAUAGCGUAUAUUAAUGUUGUUGCAGUUAAAAAGCUCGUAGUUGGAUUUCUGGUGGGAGCGGCCGGUCCGCCGUAAGGUGUGUACUUGGUUGUCUCCUGUCAUCCUUGUGGGAACUGCUCUGGCAUUAAGUUGACGGGGUUAGGGAACACAUCGUUUACUGUGAAAAAAUUAGAGUGUUUAAAGCAGGCUUAUGCCGUUGAAUACAUUAGCAUGGAAUAAUAAGAUAGGACUUUGGCGUCUAUUUUGUUGGUUUGCACACCAAGGUAAUGAUUAAUAGGGAUAGUUGGGGGUAUUCGUAUUUAAUUGUCAGAGGUGAAAUUCUUGGAUUUAUGAAAGACGAACUUCUGCGAAAGCAUUUACCAAAGAUGUUUUCAUUAA